UACGUAGGUGGCAAGCGUUGUCCGGAUUUACUGGGCGUAAAGAGCGCGCAGGCGGCUGGUCAAGUCCGAUGUGAAAUCUCCCGGCUUAACUGGGAAAUUGCAUCGGAAACUGAUCGGCUUGAAGGUGGGAGAGGGUAGCGGAAUUCCCGGUGUAGUGGUGAAAUGCGUAGAUAUCGGGAGGAACACCAGUGGCGAAGGCGGCUACCUGGCCCAUUCUUGACGCUGAGGCGCGAAAGCUAGGGGAGCAAACGGG
rnacentral:rRNA from 1 species